ensembl:snoRNA SNORD100 small nucleolar RNA SNORD100
GCUGUACAGUGAUGAUAACUUGGCUCCCUCUACUGAGACUUGUGAGGAGAACAACCACUAACGUUACCCUUUAUUUCUGAGUGUACAGC